rnacentral:lncRNA from 10 species
CCGGGCGGCUGAGCGUUCGCGGGGCCGAGGCCAUGGCUUUCUGGGCGGGGGGUUCGCCCAGCGUCGUGGACUAUUUCCCUAGCGAGGACUUCUACCGCUGCGGCUACUGCAAGAACGAGUCGGGCAGCCGCUCCAAUGGCAUGUGGGCACAUUCCAUGACAGUACAGGAUUAUCAGGAUCUCAUAGACCGAGGAUGGCGAAGAAGUGGAAAAUAUGUGUACAAACCUGUCAUGAAUCAAACAUGUUGUCCUCAGUACACAAUAAGAGACGGAGUCUCGCACUGUCGCCUGGGCUGGAGUGCAAUGGCGCGAUCUCGGCUCACUGCAACCUCUGCCUCCUGGGUUCAAGUGAUUCUCCUGCCUCAGCCUCCCGAGUAGCUGGGAUUACAGGUGCCUGCCACCACGCCCGGCUAAUUUUUUGUAUUUUUAGUAGAGAUGGGGUUUCACUAUGUUGGCCAGGCUGGUCUUGAACUCCUGACCUCAUGAUCCACCUGCCUCAGCCUCCCAAAGUGCUGAUAUUACAGGCGUGAGCCACUGCACCUGGCCCAGAGUCCAGUUUUCUUAAAUGGGAAACUUAAACCAAAGUCUAUUUUCCUACAAAGUCUUCGUUGGAUUUUUUCAUAAUCUUUUGGAUUUUCCAUGUACCUUCUCACCUCACCCUAACAUAGAAAAAUCUUCUCUCUUAUUCUGGUUAUAAGGUCAUCAUCAUCUUUUUCUUCUUUUUUCUUUUUUUUUUUGAGACAGGGUCUUGCUCAGGCUGGAAUGCAGUAGCACAACCAUGGCUCACUGCAGCCUGCCUGCCAGGCUCAAGUAAUCCUCCCACCUCAGCCUCCCAAGUAGCUGGGACUGUAGGUACACACCACCAGGCCUGGCAAAUUACAUUUUUUUUUAUAGAAAAGGGGUCUUGCCAUGUUUCCUAGGCAGAUCUCACCAUGUUUCCUAGGCUGAUCUCGCCAUGUUUCCUAGGCUGAUCUCCAACUUCUAGGCUCAAAGGAGCCUCCUGCCUCAGCCUCCCAAAGUGCUGGGAUUAUAGGUGUGAGCUACUACUGCACCUGAACCUUUUUUUUUGAUAGAAAAUGUGAAAAGUGCGUUAACAUUUUGAAGCAUGUAUUUG